UGAGACUCUGUCUCAAAAAAAAAAAAAAAAAAAAAAAAAAAAUAUAUAUAUAUAUAUAUAAUAUAAAUUUGGUUAAAGACCCAAUUUGAAAAGUAAUUCAAAAUAAAUAGGGAUUUAGAAAUAAACAUUAAAAAUUAUAAAUUGCCACAUAAAACUUUUUUUAUUGCUGAAGAGGAAAACAAAAGAAUACUCAAAAAAUGAAAGGAUAUCCCUGGAUCUGGGAUAGGAUGACUCAACAUCAUAAAGAUGUUAAUUUUCUUUAUGUGAGGAGAUGGAGGAGUUGUAGAUUUAUACCAUGAACUUCACAUACUGCCCCAGGAGUUGGAGAAGCUGAAGGAGGAGACCUAGCAGGGCUAAAUGAACUACAGAUCCAGCUAUUGCCCCAUACCAACAAGGUGACACAACAAAUUUGCCUUCACCUCUGUGAAUUGCAACAGUACCUGGUGACACCAUAACCUUUCACAUGCAAAAUAUCUGGCAGGCCUGAUUAAGGCAGUAGUAUUCAGAGAAAGCUGUUCUGAAAAGUGUUGUUCCAUUAAUGCUUAGUUGAUACAAUAUAAAUACAUUACAACUGUGGUGAUAAACCAGUUUACCCCACUGUAAUACAGGCAACACUUUUUUCUUCUGCUUGGCUGGUCCCAUGUCAGCACUGAGCUACUCAGGAGGCUGAGGCAGGAGAAUGGCGUGAACCCAGGAGGCGGAGCUUGCAGUGAACCGAGAUUGCACCACUGCACUCUCUGUCGCCUGGGCGACAGAGGGAGACUCCAUCUCAAAAAAAAAAAAAAGUAAGGACACAUUAUAUAUAGGAUUGCAUAUAAAAGUACAUGCAUCCAUCCAGAUAUGUAGUCAGGGGUAUUCUGGGUGGAUUCACGGCCUCACCACUGCAGUCCUGCCUCUGCUAAAUUUAAAUAGGCCAUUUUGAACAUUGUCUCUGAUAAUGUUACUCUUGUAUAAUAUACUGAGAAUAAAAAAAUGUAACUGUGGUAGAUUGUAUUAUUGUUUGCUAAAUAGUCUGGUUGCUACCCUUCAGUGUUCCUUGCUAGGUAGCACUCCCUGUCCACAUACUUGUCCUGUUGAAUGCAUGUUGAAUGCAUUACAUGGUCAUGUGACUUGCUUUGA
rnacentral:lncRNA from 10 species